rnacentral:tRNA from 1 species
GUGGGUAUAGCUCAGUAGGUUAGAGCGCCAGGUUGUGGCCCUGGAGGUCAUGGGUUCGAGUCCCACUACUCACCCCA